rnacentral:lncRNA from 1 species
GCCCUUUUAGUGUGUUAGAAUGAUUUGCAUGGAAGCUCAGUCUUUGGGGUUAUCCUGAAACUACAAUGAUCAAUCAUUCUCAAGUAGAGAGGAUUGAAUCAUGUUAUGAGUAGUAGCAGGAGGUCUUAAUCUUAGAGGCUUUCAAUAUGCUCCAAGGCGAGGUACAAACUAACCUCGUGAGUGUGGUAGGGUGAAACCCAUUAGCAACGACUUUACAAAGCAGUAGAUGUCACCAAGAGUGCAUGACCCGC